UAAUACUAAACUAAUUGCAGACCAUAAGUCCCACUAUAUUGUUAUCGAUAGCACCAAAUAUUUAGUGAUAUCAAGUUUUCUGCCGUUAGAUCAAUCUCUUUGACCAUUUACAUCUGUUAAAUUAUACUAUUCAACUAACUAUACCCAGUCAAUUUUAGAAGACCACUAUCAUCUUAAGUUCCUAACCGUACAUCGCUUCAUCCAAGGCCAGAAACUUAAUAGCACCAAUAAUUUAGUGCUAUUAAUAGUAUUCCAGCGUAGUUCUACAGACCCUUUUUUAUUAUAUCGAUCUUUUGAAUGAUGCUUAUCAGUUGAAAAAAGAAA
rnacentral:lncRNA from 1 species